rnacentral:lncRNA from 1 species
AUUAGUUGGCUCAUUUCAUGACGGCUAUUGUAAUUAAUUUUGCGUUUAACAAACGUAGGGCAGUGUACAAAAUAUUUCGUAGGUACCAGGAAGAUGAGUAAUUCUAGAUAUCUCGCGUUCACAUAGGGUCCAUAGAAAGGCCGUAUUCCAAAGAAUGUGAUAUAGGCAAUCUACCUUCAUGCUAGUAUAGUGCUUGUUCUCACGGCUCGAAUAUAAAACUUAUAUGUCACAUGAAAACAACUUUAACAUUGCUCCCUAGUUUUGCACAGAUAUCUACCUAUUAUCCCUCAGUCACCCCACUUUUCUAUCAAUAACAAUUCAACAUCUUAUCGAUUAAUUUCUACAUAUAGAAAGAAAACUUUAAGCUGCAACUUAAAGCAAACACAAAGAAAGAGCAUUAUUCCAAGUCCUGAU